rnacentral:lncRNA from 1 species
AAACAAAAUUUAUAAACAGAACUCAAGCAGAAUACCUUUGAAUUUUUACAACGUUGUCUUUUGACAUGAACGCGGUACACCCUUCUCCGUAAAUACGGCAAUACGGGAGAACGGGACGCCUCCGAGUCCGAAGGGCGGGAAAUUUUUUGUGCCGCUGACCGUGCUGCUAUGUUUGCAAAGAGUUGCUUUCUACCCUCUUACGUUUUGCCUGCUAACAAGACAAAUUUGUUUUUCUCCAAGCUGUUGCAGUAAUAAUAGUAAUCGUAAACAAAAAAUAAAACGGGCGCCAUUAAGGUUUGAGCGCCAGGUGACAGCAGAUACAUCGACAGGGCAGAUGGAGAAAACGGAGAGAAAAAAGUUAUUUUUUAACCAAGUUCCACCUUUGACCUUUUCAAGUUAUCAUCAUGCCAGUGGCUUGGUUUAAAAUGAUAGCAUUAAUAGCAAGGGACAUAUGAUUUGGUAAAUGAUAUAAGGUUCUCCAAUAUCAAAUGUACUAUAUUAAAGUUUACAAACGUGUAAUGUGGAAAAGAUUUGCAAAGCUGGGAAGAUAUCCAGCCCUAAAUUGGAAGAACAGCAUGAAGAAAUAACAUGUAGCCAACUUAAUUGUUAAACAUAAUGAAUUUUUGCCUGGAAAAUUGCUACUUCAGAUUUGAUCAACAUUAAAAUUGAUUUAUUUUAA